rnacentral:rRNA from 1 species
UUGGAGGGCAAGUCUGGUGCCAGCAGCUGCGGUAAUUCCAGCUCCAAUAGCGUAUAUUAAAGUUGUUGCAGUUAAAAAGCUCGUAGUUGAAUUUCGGGAUCAAUAUUUCGGUCAUGCCGUUGGUAUGCACUGUUAUCAUUGAUUUCUCACCUUCUAAAGAACCGUAAUGCCAUUAAUUUGGUGUUACGGGGAAUUAGGACUGUUACCUUGUAAAAAUUAGAGUGUUUAAAGCAGGC